CAAGAUGAACGCUGGCGGCGUGCUUACACAUGCAAGUCGAACGGGGAUGCCAUUUUCGAGGUGAUUAGUUUACUAAGAGCCAAGAUGUUGGCAUCUUAGUGGCGGACGGGUGAGUAACGCGUGGGUAACCUGCCUUAUACAGGGGGAUAACACUUAGAAAUAGGUGCUAAUACCGCAUAAGCGCACGGGGCUGCAUGGCCCAGUGUGAAAAACUCCGGUGGUAUAAGAUGGACCCGCGUCUGAUUAGCUUGUUGGCGGGGUAACGGCCCACCAAGGCGACGAUCAGUAGCCGGCCUGAGAGGGUGGACGGCCACAUUGGGACUGAGACACGGCCCAAACUCCUACGGGAGGCAGCAGUGGGGAAUAUUGGACAAUGGGGGGAACCCUGAUCCAGCGACGCCGCGUGAGUGAAGAAGUAUUUCGGUAUGUAAAGCUCUAUCAGCAGGGAAGAAAGAAAUGACGGUACCUGACUAAGAAGCCCCGGCUAACUACGUGCCAGCAGCCGCGGUAAUACGUAGGGGGCAAGCGUUAUCCGGAUUUACUGGGUGUAAAGGGAGCGU
rnacentral:rRNA from 1 species